GUGGGCACUUUCCGAUUGCGGUGACGAUUUGCCUUGUUUUUUAGGCGUUUCGUCAGUGUGCCGCUUCGUUCGCAACGAAGAGGUCGGGAGUUCGACUCUCCUUCGCUCCA
rnacentral:tRNA from 1 species